rnacentral:tRNA from 1 species
GGCCCCUUCGACUAAUGGUUAGGUCACCACCCUUUCACGGUGGCUGCACGGGUUCGAGUCCCGUAGGGGUCA